rnacentral:rRNA from 1 species
GCGAGCUGGGUUCAGAACGUCGUGAGACAGUUCGGUCCCUAUCCGUCGUGGGCGUAGGAAAUUUGAGAGGAGCUGUCCUUAGUACGAGAGGACCGGGAUGGACACACCGCUGGUGUACCAGUUGUCUUGCCAAAGGCAUCGCUGGGUAGCUAUGUGUGGACGGGAUAAGUGCUGAAAGCAUCUAAGCAUGAAGCCCCCCUCAAGAUGAGAUUUCCCAUUACGCAAGUAAGUAAGAUCCCUCAAAGACGAUGAGGUAGAUAGGUUCGAGGUGGAAGUGUGGUGACACAUGGAGCUGACGAAUACUAAUCGAUCGAGGACUUAACCAAAA